CCAGGCAGCAUCUCUAGUGAGAAGGAAUGGGUGACGAUUUCGACUGAGUCGACUGAGCUUACAGCUUUAUAAACGCUCCAGUAUCCACAAAACACCAAAUGCGUUCUGUCCAUUGCCUAUGAAGCCUCUGUUUUAGAGUAAAGACUAGGGAGCUCAAACCUAUUUGGGAUUGUAAUCGUUUAAAUGUGUUUUAAUUCAUUCAGCUCGAAAUGGUUAUAGUGGGACGAGAGAGCAGAUGAGAGAGAACUGUCGUGCUCAGGAGCGGCCUGCAUCAACGAUCCUAUAGCGGAGCUCUGCUUUAGGAUCUUUGGGCUGCAUGGCCCUGACCGAGGGCGCCGCCUACCCGGCCCAGCAGGAGGAGCCGCCCGGCCGACAGCGGAGAUGGCGCCUCCCCCGGGCCCAGCACCUGCGCGCUGGAGAGGACGGCGGCGGGGUCCGGAAGCCGAGGGAAGAGGCGCUGAAUGGAGAGCAGGAGUCAGCAUGGAGAAGCUCAGGAACAGUUUCUUUCGGGCCCGGCGGUCCGCUGCUUCAGAGCCCGUCAGACUGAGAAAAAGAAAAUCGACGCUGUAUGCUGCAGAAUGCUCCAACUCUGAGCAGGGACGAGGUACAGGAUUAUUUGGUCCAAACACCUAUUUAAUUAUAUUCUCAGUAGCUUUAAGGUCUGUGAACUGCCUUUUGGUCCAGACUAGCUUUGUUCCAGAUGAGUACUGGCAGACGCUCGAAGUUGCUCACAACAUGGUCUUCAAGUAUGGUUAUUUAACCUGGGAAUGGAAAGAAAAGCUCCGAGGCUACACCUACCCAUUGAUUUUUGCAAGCUUCUAUAAAUUGUUGCAAAUAUUCAAGAAGGAUACAGUACAACUGCUGAUCUGGGUUCCUCGACUGGCCCAGUCUUUUCUGGCAGCACUGGCAGAUGUAACAUUAUACUGCGUAGUAAAAAAACAGGCAAAUGAAGAGGUUGCAAAGUGGGUGUACUUCUCUCAACUGUGUUCCUGGUUCACAUGGUAUUGCAGUACGCGAACUAUUACAAAUAGCAUGGAAGCUGUUCUAACUAGUUUUAUAUUUUAUUACUACCCUCUUCAGGGUACAAAGACUGGAAGCAGUUCGAAAUAUCUCGCUUUGACUGCGUUUGCAUUUGUUGUGCGUCCCACUGCAGUCAUUCUUUGGCUGCCACUGUUGUUUUCUCAUUUCUGGCAAGAAGCGAAGAAACUGGAUCUGCUCUUGUACAAAUGUCUACCAGCUGGAUGCUUGUCACUGGGGUUUUCACUGAUCGUUGACCGAAUAUUUUAUGGUGAGUGGGUUGUCGUUCAGUGGAAUUUCCUCAGGUUCAAUGUAAUUCAGAACUUGGGAUCAUUCUAUGGCUCUCAUUCUUGGCACUGGUACUUCACUCAAGGAUUUCCUGUCAUCAUGGGAACACAUCUGCCAUUCUUCAUUCAUGGAUGUCUUUUGGUGCCCAAGAAGAACAGAAUUUUAUUAAUUGCAGUUCUUUGGACAAUUAUUGUAUAUAGCUUCAUAAGCCAUAAAGAAUUCAGAUUUAUUUAUCCGGCAAUGCCCAUCUGCAUGGUAUUUUGUGGCUAUUCACUCGCUAAUUUAAAAAUUUGGAAGAAACGAGCAGUCAGUUUUCUGUUUCUAUCCAACGUGUGCCUAGUUCUAUAUACUGGAUUAAUUCAUCAGCGUGGGACACUAGAUGUAAUGCAAUAUGCUCAGAAACUCUGCACGGACAACCUGCUGGAGAAAGAAGAGCCAUCUUUGUUCUUUCUGAUGCCUUGCCAUUCAACACCAUUCUACAGUUACGUUCAUUGCCCAAUAAAAAUGCACUUUCUGGAAUGCCCUCCGGACCUGAGUGGAAACAAUACCUACAUUGAUGAAGCUGACUUAUUUUUCAAGGAGCCCCUUACGUGGCUGAACAUAAGAUUUUCUGCUCAGGCCUCCCUUCCCACUCAUCUCGUAAUUUUCAAUGUCUUGGAACAGACUUGCAGGUCUCUCGUUGCCAGGCUUUUCUGCUGACUUUCUUGAAAAUGGGGACCACCUUUGCUGUCCUCCAGCCAUCUGGUUGUCAUCUUGAUCGAACAUUGAACCAUUCCUAAGGACCAAAAGCUACAUAAAAGUAGCAACAUUUUUUCACACUCAUGUGCCAGAGGGCCGAACAGGAAGCCAUAUUCAUGUAUUUGAAAGAAAAAUGAAUGGAUAAUAGGUGAUUCAAAACAUUUAAAUGUGUACAUAGAUGUAUCUACUGUUGUAAUUGUUUUUUAUAAAUCUGUUUCCUCUUCAAA